AAACGUUCUCCACGAAAGGAGGACAAAUAGAGGAUGGAGGACGUCGUCGAAUUCUAUGAUUUUCCUUUUAUUUUCUGCCGUCUCUUUCGACCAUCGAAGUACUUCCCAUGACGAUAAUCCUACGGUAUUUCUCUCUCUCUCUCUCUCUCUCUCUCUCGUCGUUCCCAUUUCGAUUCGGACAAAUCCAUCGAAGGUUCGAAGAAAAAGGGGGCUCGAUCUUUAGUCGCGUAGUAACGACCAUAUUUCUCAAUAAACGAUAAAUCAGAGCACUAAGGUAUACCUUCCGUCUCUCUCGGUCUCUCACAGAUCCCAUCCCGUCUUUCCUUUUCUUCCAUUUACUUUAGCAGAACUAUCUCCUCGUCUCUCUCUCUCUCUCUCUCUCUUUCUACUCUUCCGCCGCCUUCCGAGUCUCCUAGCCCCAUUAAUCUAUGGUUAUCUACGGCGUGUGCCGGAUAAGUGCGUCGGAAUGAGCCAUUUCACCCUUGGGACUUCGAAUCCAUCCUCCACCCUCGAAAAGUGGAAGGCCGUCCGACUGGAGACUGGCCCUUGGGCAUCCUUCUACCCUUCUGAUGAGCUGUGCAAAACUUCAUCCUUAACGAGCUCGUAACGACGGCUCGUAGCGCGUAGCCUACCGAGAAAUGAAAAUGGAAGCAACUACAGUCGUUUUAUUCGCGUAGACGAUUCUACGUACUCGUCGACGAGGUUCCUCUUUAUAUAUUUCGUACUUAAGGAUAACGUUGACUCUAAAGAAUUAUUUUAACGUAGAAAUAAGAAACGAAAGGGACUGCUAGUCGGAGUCAAAUACUAGGCCCAGAGUAUGUCUGAACCUCCCUCGUAAGGUGAAUAACGCUCGCAGGUUAUCUUUUCACCUUCGACGCUCGUAAGUAAAGUGGAAAAGCCACCCCUGUCGGGUACAACCUAACGAACUAAAGAACAAUGUUACUUUAUAUGCGAGCCAGCGACCCUCGGUUUUUCACCCUCCACCUUCUUUCAUCCUCCCGCUUCUCCUCCUCUUCCUCCUUCCUCCGACGGUAGCUACGACACGACUACGACGACUACGACGACUACGACGACGACAACCGGGAUGAGGAGAAAGAGGAGAGGAAGGGGGAAGGGCAGACUCCUUCCUGCCCUUAUCGCUGGAAAAGUUAAGUGGAAGAAAAUGCGUCGCGAGCGCGGCCGACCCAUCGGAGAAAGUUGAAAUUGAUGCAGUGGACGAGCCCUUGACUCGCACGAGCUUACGUUGAAAGCCACUCUACUUUGCUACGAUACUUUCAGAAAAAGUUCUACGAACGACGUUACCAAGUCGUUUAUCGAGGCACGCGACGAAAACGUGCGUCGAUAGCGGCUAUGCAUCUUCUUUUUUGUGUCCUUUUCUUUUCUUUUCUUUUCUUUUCUUUUUUCUCCUUUUUUUCGCCCUUACCUACUUCCCCAUUAACAAACUAUAAAUCAUACUUAAGCGUCUAAGCGUCGAGCUAUUAGCGUCUGAACGGAUACCCGUUCAUCGGUUUCAUUAGGGACGUUCGUUCGAGAAAAAUUCGUUCGCGA